GCUGCAUAUGUCUUUAGUUCCAGCCUCAACUGGCUUCCACCGUAGCCAACAAGAGUUGAAAAUGGUGAAAGUGGUUAUGGCAAGAAUGGAGCAUUACCUACUGAGGCCAACAAACUACACGGAUGAAUGGCAGAUGGAGAACCUCUUUUCAAGUGAACUUGGAGCAGACACUGUCUUGGAGAGAAGAAAGAAAAAAGAGAGAAUUGCAAAGAAAGUUUGAAGAGCCCUAUGCUGCUGAAGGGCUGUCUGCUCUUCCUUUUAGCAGUAUACGAGAUGCCCACCUUGUGCCAUUUUGCAUCUGAGUUUUGAAGAUACUGAGGACCAGCUGCUCCUGUGAACUUGACUGACAGCUGGAAGGACUCAACAGUAAGAAUCUAUCUUAUGGGUGAGCACUCAAAAAUGGAGUUUCCAUUAUGUCCUUAUAGUGAUAAGACUUCAAACCACAGUGUGCCUCCCCCAUCAGUCUAAUGAUUAAGGUGUGGACAUUUGGAUCUGGGUUCACCCACUUAGCUCUCUGGGCAUUUACCUGAGACAUCAGGUUGAUUGUUCAAUGCCCAGAAAGUCACUGCUAUAGGGAAGGUUAGUUAGUGGCAGGCAGAAUUGUCUAUCAGAAGUACCUCUCUCCCCCAUUCCCUACUCUCCUCCAUGUUGGCAUCUCAGACUAGGGCCUAACAUUAGUGAGAAGACUCUAUUUUCAUAGUGUGUCAGGGAAAACAGAUUUCUGGCAAGGAAACACGAGGUACACAGGUUAGACCACCACUUGUGGACAGGGGAACAUUGGAUCUGUACUCACCUCUUGAGAGGCAAAGGAGAACAAGGAAGAAUUGUAUCCUUCUCACCAGUGUCCUCACCCAAUGUUCUUCCAACCCAGCUAUGCCAAACCAGAGGGAAAAGUAAGGAAGCAAAAUAUUUCUAUGCCUUGCAAAAGAGAAGGGAAGAACAAAGUGUG